UCGAUGGGCGUCGACCGGCGCACGGGUGAGUAACGCGUAUCCAACCUGCCCACCACUUGGGGAUAACCUUGCGAAAGUAAGACUAAUACCCAAUGACGUCUCUAGAAGACAUCUGAAAGAGAUUAAAGAUUUAUCGGUGAUGGAUGGGGAUGCGUCUGAUUAGCUUGUUGGCGGGGUAACGGCCCACCAAGGCUACGAUCAGUAGGGGUUCUGAGAGGAAGGUCCCCCACAUUGGAACUGAGACACGGUCCAAACUCCUACGGGAGGCAGCAGUGAGGAAUAUUGGUCAAUGGACGAGAGUCUGAACCAGCCAAGUAGCGUGCAGGAUGACGGCCCUAUGGGUUGUAAACUGCUUUUAUAAGGGAAUAAAGUGAGUCUCGUGAGACUUUUUGCAUGUACCUUAUGAAUAAGGACCGGCUAAUUCCGUGCCAGCAGCCGCGGUAAUACGGAAGGUCCGGGCGUUAUCCGGAUUUAUUGGGUUUAAAGGGAGCGUAGGCCGGAGAUUAAGCGUGUUGUGAAAUGUAGAUGCUCAACAUCUGCACUGCAGCGCGAACUGGUUUCCUUGAGUACGCACAAAGUGGGCGGAAUUCGUGGUGUAGCGGUGAAAUGCUUAGAUAUCACGAAGAACUCCGAUUGCGAAGGCAGCUCACUGGAGCGCAACUGACGCUGAAGCUCGAAAGUGCGGGUAUCGAACAGGAUUAGAUACCCUGGUAGUCCGCACGGUAAACGAUGGAUGCCCGCUGUUGGUCUGAAAUAG
rnacentral:rRNA from 2 species